rnacentral:siRNA from 1 species
UUAUCACAUAGUAUGGAAAGCAUA